AUUGAACGCUGGCGGCAGGCCUAACACAUGCAAGUCGAGCGGAUGAAGGGAGCUUGCUCCUGGAUUCAGCGGCGGACGGGUGAGUAAUGCCUAGGAAUCUGCCUGGUAGUGGGGGAUAACGUCCGGAAACGGGCGCUAAUACCGCAUACGUCCUGAGGGAGAAAGUGGGGGAUCUUCGGACCUCACGCUAUCAGAUGAGCCUAGGUCGGAUUAGCUAGUUGGUGGGGUAAGGGCCUACCAAGGCGACGAUCCGUAACUGGUCUGAGAGGAUGAUCAGUCACACUGGAACUGAGACACGGUCCAGACUCCUACGGGAGGCAGCAGUGGGGAAUAUUGGACAAUGGGCGAAAGCCUGAUCCAGCCAUGCCGCGUGUGUGAAGAAGGUCUUCGGAUUGUAAAGCACUUUAAGUUGGGAGGAAGGGCAGUAAGUUAAUACCCUGCUGUUUUGACGUUACCAACAGAAUAAGCACCGGCUAACUUCGUG
rnacentral:rRNA from 1 species